rnacentral:rRNA from 1 species
GCGUGGCUAAGACAUGCAAGUCGUACGGGUGUAGCAAUACACCAGUGGCGGACGGGUGAGUAAUGUAUCGCUAACGUACCCCAUUGUCUGGGAUAGCUGCCCGAAAGGGCAGGUAAUACCAGAUGAAAUAUCCUUUUCGCAUGAUAGGGAUCUCAAAGGGAAACCGCAUUGGGAGCGGGCGAUAUCGUAUCAGCUAGUUGGUGAGGUAACGGCUCACCAAGGCGACGACGCGUGGCCGGACUGAGAGGUUGGCCGGCCACAUUGGGACUGAGACACUGCCCAGACUCCUACGGGGGGCUGCAGUAACGAAUCUUCCGCAAUGCACGCAAGUGUGACGGAGCGACGCCGCGUGUGGGACGAAGUCCUUCGGGAUGUAAACCACUGUCAGGGGUUAGAAAGUUCUGAUCAACCCCAGAGGAAGGCACGGCUAACUCUGUGCCAGCAGCCGCGGUAAGACAGAGGUGCCAAGCGUUAGGCGGAAUCACUGGGCUUAAAGCGUGUGUAGGUGGACUGGUAAGUACCUUGUGAAAUCCCACGGCUCAACCGUGGAACUGCUUGGUAUACUGCUGGUCUUGGGCCAUCUAGGGGCGAGCGGAACAAAUGGUGGAGCGGUGAAAUGCGUAGAUAUCAUUUGGAACGCCAGUGGUGAAAACAGCUCGCUGGGGAUGUGCCGACACUGAGACUCGAAAGCUAGGGGAGCAAACGGGAUUAGAUACCCCGGUAGUCCUAGCCGUAAACGAUGUCGACUAGAUCGUAGUGCCUCUGACGGUAUUACGGUCGAAGCAAAAGUGCUAAGUCGACCGCCUGGGAAGUACGGCCGCAAGGCUAAAACUCAAAGGAAUUGACGGGGGCUCACACAGGCGGUGGAGCAUGUGGUUUAAUUCGAAGCAACGCGCAGAACCUUACCUGGGCUUGACUAGCUAGGAUUAUCUCUAUGAAAGUAGAGUAGGCCCUUCGGGGUACAACUAGUACAGGUGCUGCAUGGCUGUUGUCAGCUCGUGUCGUGAGAUGUCGGGUUAAGUCCCUUAACGAGCGAAACCUUUGCCCUUAGUUGCCAGCGGGUUAUGCCGGGGACUCUAAGGGGACUGCCGGUGUCAAACCGGAGGAAGGUGGAGAUGACGUCAAGUCCUCAUGGCCUUUAUGCCCAGGGC